AUACUUACCUGGCGUAGGGGAUACCGUGGUCAUGCAGGCGGUUCCCCCAGGGCGAGGCUGCUCCGUUGCACUGCGGAGUGGUUGACCCUAGCGAUUAUUUUUAUUUUUAUAAUAAAAAAAUCAUAAUAAUAAUAAAUGUAUACCCGAAUAAUUAUUUUCUUUAUAC
rnacentral:snRNA from 9 species